AGAAACUUAGGAUAACCUAUUACAAACCGAAG
rnacentral:tRNA from 1 species